AUCGGUGGAAAGGUGAAAUAUAAGUAUCUUUUGAAAUUUUUUUUUUUGUUAGCUAUUAGGAAAAAUGAUCGAAUCAUUUGGUCUCUAUACGCGCGCUUUCGAAGAUAUAUCUUCAUAUUAUUGCGAGAGGAUUAUGAAGUUCUUAAUCCAGGACCCAAGAGCACCAGUCUCGGGAAGAGAAGGCUCUGGUUCAUGGGUUCUUGCCAGAUCUACUAGGCCCAAGAGCAACAAUUCCCCACGAGGCAUAGGUUUCGUGAGAGAAGACUCUGGUGGUUGCUAAUAUCUUCUAAGGAUUUUCCACAAGGCUGCGGGGAUUGGUUACUGGGGCAACUUUAGAAUGGCACGCCAUGCUUGGCUAUGCUAAUCCCGUUGAGAAUGGCUCCAGAGAGCGAACUUUUCGUUCAUGAGGGGUUUUCAAUCGUGGUACGAUUAAGUUUCCGUGGAUAAGCGACCUUUUUUUUCUUAAGAUGACCCGUGAGGGGUCUCCACAGUGGAUCGAUCGAGUUGCCUUCGCUUAGCGACCUAUUCAGGGUAAUUUUUUUUUUUUUUGUGCUUUAUCGACGAAAUUAUGAUAAGAUUAUA